AAGGAAUUAAUAAUAGUAAAUAUUUUUAUACUCCCCAUUUCUUAACAGUACACCCUCCCACUCCACUUUAUCAAUAAUCAAAUAUAUAAAGAAGAUAAUUAAUACAAUAAAACAAGAGUUUCACAUCUGAGUAUCCUACUCUCUCUCUCUUGCAGCUUUCUCUUUCAAUUUCGUCCAAGAUUUUUCAAAGAACACACCCUAUUUCUCAAAUUUGCAACACACUCAAAUUAAAGAUUUCAGAAGCACCCACACACAAAUCCAUCUCUCUCUCCCUCGAUUUCUUUCACAGGAAGAACAAAACAAGACCCCUAAAUUUGCUGCUGCAGGAUCGAUGCUGCAGUGUCCGUGUUCGCCCGCUCCGUUGCCGUUCAGGCAACGUCCAGACCGAGCAGCUGCUGGGCGGCUCGCACCCACCGUCGUCGCUGCUCCAGCCGCCCCAGCUCGCCGCCGUGCGACUGGACCUCGCCGCCGCUGUUGUCUGCCGAGACCGCGCCUGCUCCGGCAGCCUCCGAAUAGCCCCGAUUUGCCCCGAAACUAACCCGUUCAGCCCCGCAAGACCCCGAUUUCGCCUUGAUUUAACCCGAAGAUAAGUUCUUAAAUUUGAUUUCGCGAGAUAAAGUUUGAUUCUUUAGUUAAGUAUGCUUUGUCUUUUUUUUUUGAUUGGAGAUUUAUUUAAGAUUAAUAGAUGGUAGUGUGGGAUGUAGGGAUGCAGUAGUAUGAAAUAGGAUUUGGGUGGAAGGAGGUGUAUACCUUCAACAAUAUGGGACGUGUAGCUGUAAUGAGGUUGUGGCUUCUAUCCUCCCUUCUCUCGGUUUUCUGCCAGAAGAAUAUAAUGAAUGAGUUGAUUACCAAAAGGAACGUGCAAAAACGAGGGGAAAAUUUCUGCAGAAUUACCUUGAAUCAAUGUUGUUAAGAAUCUGUCUUGGUUUUCUUGCUGCAGAGAACGAUCACGGAGGAGGAAAAUCUUUUCACGGAGGAGGAUAAUCUUUAUAAAAUCUUUAUUUAAUAUCUGAAUUAAUGUCGAUUGAUGAUCAAAUCAACAUGGAGAAUAUUUAUUUUAAUUAGUUUAAUUCACAGUCCAUUGUAUUUUAUUUUAAAUUGUGCAGUCCCCAAUUUAUUUAUCACGGACUGAAUUUUUAUAUUAUUUAUUCAAUUUAUCCAA